rnacentral:rRNA from 1 species
UACGUAGGGCGCAAGCGUUGUCCGGAAUUAUUGGGCGUAAAGAGCUCGUAGGCGGUCUGUCGCGUCCGUUGUGAAAACUCGAGGCUCAACCUCGGGCUUGCAGUGGAUACGGGCAGACUAGAGUGCGGUAGGGGAGACUGGAAUCCUGGUGUAGCGGUGGAAUGCGCAGAUAUCAGGAGGAACACCGAUGGCGAAGGCAGGUCUCUGGGCCGCGAACUGACGCUGAGGCGCGAAGCGUGGGGAGCAACAG